rnacentral:lncRNA from 1 species
ACUGCCUGGCCUGUUCCCAGUCACACUGUACCCUGAACCUUCCACCCAAGGAAGAACCCAGCCUCUGGGGUUUCUAUAGGACUAUAGGGCCCAAGAAUUGCAAAGUGAUUCUAACCUUCACUCUAGUUUUCUUUCACCAUCUCAGAGAGCCUGAGAGAAAGCUUCAGCACCCCCACCCAAAGGGAUUCAGAGAGGAAAAGAAAAAAGAGAGAUAGGAAAACAUUGAAAAUUUUAAAUAAGCAUCUGCCCCAUUAUUGCCCAAACACUGACCUCAGGGUUCAGCACACUUUGGCUAUCAAGGUGAAUAAUGGGUUGUGAAGCAAAAGUGACGGGUGACCAUAGAGGCAGCUUUGCUGGCAAGUCCAGGCUGAACCAAAGUCUCAAGCUGGUGCUGAAAACCUCACUGCUACAGGCUGGGCUCUCAUAGUGUGGUUGGGCGGUUAUGAUGCCUGGGGAGCUAGGAAUGAAUGGGCUGCUUCUUCCGGCCCUGGGACCAGGAGGUGAGGGAGGGGAGAAUUGGGGAAGUGGAUGAAUGUUAAGAAAAAAGAAGGUUGUUGGCCUCAUAGAGUACAAAUUGUCAGGCCAGCCAAGCAAGUGUUAAGAAAAACAGAAUUGUGAUUAAUUGGAAAGGGCAUUCACAGGUUCCCAGACACAGAAUUCUGCAGGAUUCUCCCAUGACCUUCAUAGCUCUCACUGUUCUCUGAGAGUGGAAGCCUUUUCCUGUUCCAGAACUGAAGCACCUUCCCUGGGAACCACAGUGAGGCAGAAAUAAGAUAGAACAAGGGGACAUCUUGCAGAUCUCAGGCCCACGUUCCCCCACACUGGUGUCCUAGGUCUGAGGCUGGUGAGAAGAGGAAAAAGGUGGACUGGGACAGGAACCACAUCUCGUGGGCUACCCAACUCAGCUUGGCACUGGGGCUGGAUCUGGAGCAGUGGACCAGCAUAGCAGUGGGCAAGCAGGGCUCUUCCCACCAUGGACAGGAGGCUGGGUUGUGGUUGUGGCAUCCUUCUGUGGUAAAGUAGAUCUUCAGGGACUGGGGAAAAGGGCUGGGAUCCCCCCUCAGGGGAAAGGGAAGUGAAGCCGCCAAAAGAACCCCAGUGGGGGAGCUGCAUACAAUCAGGAGUCCAAGGCAGGGAGCCAGUUGCCAAGACUGGGUGUCUGGGGUGGGGGGAGCUGCAGCUGGAACUCUCUUACCCCUGGCUAGCCAGAUCCCAGGCUUUCAGAGCAGGACUACUUGCACAACCCCUUGCCAGAUAUGAAGUCUGUCUUAGUCAGAACCACACAGGACCCCCAGAUUAUACCCCACAAUGAGGCUGGCAGGCAAGGAAGCCACAGGGAAGCUGGUCACAUGGCUAGACAGUGUCCUGAUCCUGCCUCCAUUUACAAUUCUGAAACAUCCCCCAACUGGCUAUUAAAGCCUCUCUCUGGGGUUCUUUAAUUCUGCCAGUGACUUCAAUGAACCAGAGCCAUGUCAUACCUCUCAGCCAAUGUAGAAGCUAAAGAGUCUGUUGAAGACAAAGUGUCCAAUAUGUUCCUAUUCUAAAGCUCCCUGAUAGAUCAGAGCUGAUGUGCAAUGGGAUUCGUAAAAUACUAAUUCCAGUAUUCAUAUUCUGAUUUCCAUCAUGGCCACCUACAUGCAAGAAAAAUGAACUUCAUAUCCCAAGGAAAUCCCCUUCUUGGUGACCAGAUGAUCUAACUAAAGUUUGAAAAGUUCUUCAAAACAUUUUCUGGAAAUUCUUAAAUAAAAAUGGACUUAUUCAACUCAAAAUCCAAUGAUGGCCAGUGUUUCAAUUGGUUACUUCCAAAUCACUGCUCCUGCAUACAAAACACUUAUAGGUCAUGGUCCUUUUUGC